AUUCGCUAGGUACAUCAUUUACAUAAACUCUACUUAUGAUAAAACGUUCGUGAGCAGCAUCGUAAAGUAAAAUAGACGAGCAAAAUAGCACAUUGUUUUAAAACCGUAAUAAUAACACGAGCAAAAUAUGUCACUAACGUUCAACUUAUCAAUUUCGUUGUUCUAUAUUCAAUAAUGUUUAAUUUUAUCAAAGACGUAAAACUGCUUACGAACGUAUUACUUUACAAACAAAGUAAUUAUAUGCAUUGUUCAUAUUCGUUUGAGACAUUAACAAAACAUGAUCCUGCAUUUGAUUAUCGGAACUGAGUGUCAAUUUUCAAGUGAUAUGCAUGUAAUCUAUUGGUUCUUAAUAACUUGGACCAAUAUAUGUUUGAAUAAUUGAAUUAUAUAAUUAUAUAAUCAAUAUUAAACUACACCAGUUUUGACCUAACAAGUUUUAGGUACAUAUAUUAGUACUAAAGGCAAAAUUCGUAGUAAAUAUUAAGCAAAGUGCAUAAUCUAAUACUAUAAAGUAGACUCAAGUCUUUCUUUGGGGGGGAAUUAAUACACGUGGCACCUCAAUUGCGUUUUGGGCUUUUGAGUGUGAAAGACGAAGAAAAAAAUCUGAGGAGGUUACAACGUUUCGUUUGGAUCUCUUUUAUUUGUGAUAUCACGACUCCUCAACAUUCAAUCUGACUCACUGUGUUCCCAGAGUAACUUACUGGAGCUUCAGUUAUAAAUACCCCUCAUCCAGAGAUGAAGAUUACAGCUUUUACUAGAACCAGAAGAAUACUUUGUUCAACUUUCCGGUUAUUACAAUGGUGAAUCUCCAAAUCCUUCUAGCCGUUUUGAGAGCUGGGCGGUGCUCCGACAGGUUGCUGCGAUUCUGGGAGGCUAGAAAUUUGAGAAAAGGCGGUGAGCUAAUGUGUCUUGACAUGCUCUUUGUCGAUGAGAAAUGAUUUUUUUUUUUUACAUUGUAUUAGACUUUAGCGGAGAUAGCGAUUGUUCCUUAUCAUUCUCUAAACAUUUUUAUUCAAGGAACGUCUCAGUGAAGGGUCUCUCUAAACGAUAAGUGGUUUUGAUGUCACACGCAGCAGCCCCAAUUUUCGGUUGUCUGAUGCUCCCUUCUCGAUUCGGUUCAGUGAUGGAACCUCUGUUGAGAAGAAAACGGAUACCUAUGGAUUCAAAUGUGGGAUUCUUAUGGCAAAAAUAUCAUCAAUACUUUCAAUGAUUUGAUCUUUCUGGCAGAGAAAAAACGAGUACGGUUUCCAAAGGGGAUGAAAAUCUAUCUAAAUAUAUUGAAUUAUAUCUUUGCUAUCUAUAUAAAUGUUUAUAAUGUACAUGUAGUACCAAGAGAUUGUUAAUAUUCGCUUAGGUGAUGGAUCUAUGAGACGUGGUCAGGUCUGUGAGGUUGAUGGAUGGCGAGAAAACUGUUGUCCAGGUUUUUGAAUUAACAUCUGAAAUUAGCACCGUUCAAUUCACUAAGUUAUUGUUGGGCAAGCCAGAAUAUUCAACGAAUCAUGGUAAACCUAAGCAUUGAGAGGUAUGUACCACCUGGACGAACUUAAAUACGUUGAACGGUUUGAAAGUGGUGUAAGUUUUGGUUGAACCACUGUUUUUCUAAGUGUUUUUGACGUCCUCGCCACCAACUUCGAUGAGAAGUGACGAGCCUAAUGUCAUUGUUGGUUAGUGGUACGGAUUGCCCAGUAACUUUGAGCAUUUUAUAACUCUACCUCUCUUUCCUUACUUCUUUUCCUCCUAGGCCGGCUCUUCGUAAAUGAUACUUAAGGAACUCAUUUAUUCUGACAAACAGUGUAUUUCUAGCCAUAGAUUCCUCGAUGCGUUAGCAUAUAUACAACUCCCGUUUCAACUCUCAAGUUAACGUAUCUGAGUUUUCAGUCUUAGUGCACUUAACAUUAUGCAGGGAAUGUGUUAAGGACAUCGGUUCUUCCUCAGCCUCAACCAAGUAUGGAGGUGUCCAGAAACUCGAAUACGUCACAGAUGCGGAGUUUAAUGCAUAUGUUCUGGGUCACAGGUCUGGAACACAACAUGUACGGCUGUACCCUCUUAAACAGGUCUAACAUGUAACUUAGACGAAUUAGCUUUGUACAAAAACCCAAAACAUACAAUGUAACUGUUAAAAGUGAAUGGUUUUGUUGGAACGUUUUAGCCCAUGUGAUCGUAAUAGACUGCAGGCUUUU